rnacentral:rRNA from 1 species
AAGCAUAUCAAUAAGCGGAGGAAAAGAAAACCAACAGGGAUUACCUCAGUAAUCGGCGAGUGAAGCGGUAACAGCUCAAAAUUUGAAAUCUGGCUCUUUUGGGGCCCCGAGUUGUAAUUUGUAGAAGAUGCUUUGGGUGUGGGCCUGGCCUAAGUUCCUUGGAACAGGACGUCGUAGAGGGUGAGAAUCCCGUAUGCGGCUGGCGCCCGCGCCCGUGUAAAGCUCUUUCGACGAGUCGAGUUGUUUGGGAAUGCAGCUCUAAAUGGGUGGUAAAUUUCUUCUAAAGCUAAAUAUUGGCCAGAGACCGAUAGCGCACAAGUAGAGUGAUCGAAAGAUGAAAAGCACUUUGGAAAGAGAGUUAAACAGUACGUGAAAUUGUUGAAAGGGAAGCGCUGGCAACCAGACUUGGGCGCUGUUGAUCCGCCGGGGUUCUCCCUGGGGCACUCGGCAGCGCGCAGGCCACCAUCGGUUUGGGGGGUUGGAGAACUACUGGUGGAAUGUGGCUGCCCUCGGGCAGUGUUAUAGCCACGGGUGGCAUGCAGCCUCCCCGGACCGAGGACCGCGCUUCGGCUAGGAUGCUGGCGUAAUGGUUGUCACCGACCCGUCUUGAAACACGGACCACGGAGUCUAACAUCUAUGCGAGUGUUUGGGUGUCAAACCCAUACGCGAAAUGAAAGUGAACGUAAGUGAGAACCCGCAAGGGUGCAUCAUCGACCGAUCCUGAUGUCUUCGGAUGGAUUUGAGUAAGAGCAUAGCUGUUGGGACCCGAAAGAUGGUGAACUAUGCCUGAAUAGGGUGAAGCCAGAGGAAACUCUGGUGGAGGCUCGCAGCGGUUCUGACGUGCAAAUCGAUCGUCAAAUUUGGGUAUAGGGGCGAAAGACUAAUCGAACCAUCUAGUA